rnacentral:lncRNA from 1 species
ACUGUGGAAGCUUUUUUGUCAGAUACGGUUAUCUUUGGGGUUAAUUAUUAUAGCAGUUGAGUUUUAACACUUGAUUUGCUUUUAAAUCUGAAGCAUUAUAUUACUAAAACAUUUUUUGAUUUGUGAAUAUGUUGUUUAAUGGAUUAUAUCUCAUUUUGCAGUAGUAGUUGCAGUGCCUGAAAGAUUGCCAAAAAAAAUAGUGCUAGCUUUUGCUGAAAAAUGUAACAAUCAACUUACCAAUACUGCCUUCUCUUCCGAUAGCUAUGUUCUCCGUAAUAUUUUAAGAACUCAGUUUUUCAUAAGACUUGUGUUGUUUUUGAUUUUUUCCCAAGUCUGGUUGAUCCUUGUGUUGUUCUUUUUUAAAUGUGUAUUGUCUGUUCAGCUAUUCUGCAGGAGUUGCAUUCUUAAAAACCUUAACCAUAUCAAAAAUUGUGUUUAAAGGAGGAUUAUUGAGAUUGGCAAGCUUUUACUAGGAGGAGUUUAAAUGCUGACGUAUUUAGGAAACUCUAAAUACUGAGCAACUUUAUUCUAACUACAAAAUAGAUAGCCUUUCUUUUGUUUUUCACUUUCACUAUCAUUAGCACUGUGUUAAUAUCUUUUCUUCAUCUAUAACACAAUUAUAACGAUAUAUAAAGCCACUCAAAUAAAGCAGAUAUAUUGUGCUUAAAAAAAAAAAGAAAAAAAAAGAAGUCAUUAUGUGGCACACAAUGAGGUGUGACUUGAAUCUAGAAUCUCCAGUGAAAACCAAUGAAACAGGGUCAAACCCUGUGUCUACUAAAAAUAAAAAAAUGAGCCAGGCGUGGUGGCGCUGAGACAGGAGAAUCACUGGAACUCAGGAGGCAGAGGUUGCAGUGAGCUGAGAUCAUGCCACUGCACUCCAGCUGGGGUGGGGGACAGAGCAAGACUCAAUCUCAGAAACAAACACACGAAGCCAAUAAAGUUGUUUCACUCAACGUGUCAGGCUCAGGUCUCUUGACAGGAUACAUCCGGCAUCCGGGGAAACGUCGAGGGGUGGGGUGGAAUCUAUUUUGUGGCCUCAAGGGAGGUUUUGAGAGAUAGUCUUGCAAACGUGAUGGCCUAAGGAAGCCCCUCUGCCCAAGAAGCCAUAUUCAUUUGUAUCCUGUAGCCACCCACGAGGGAGAAUCCGGCUCUCUACAGACACCCCAACCCCCACCCCACCCCACCCCCUGCCUCGUGAAAUGAGCUCUCGCUCCAUCAGGCUCUAUUCACACCGUCUGGUUUUGUAACCUCCAGCGUGUGUGCAUGGGUUGCGGGGUGGGGUGGGGGCGGCUGUGGACAGAGAAGGGGAUAAAGCGGCGGUGUCCCAUGGGUGCCCGGGACGUGGGACAUGAGUAGAGUGGCCAGAGCCUAGUUAACUCAUCGCCUGUCAGGACGUCUCCCCUCCUGGUCCCCUCUCUGACCUACGCUCCACAUCUUAGCAGUUCAGUGGGGACCUUGUGGGUGGAAGUUGCCAACCCUUUGUACUUUAGCCGACGAAGACUGGGCUCCCAAGAGUCUCCCCGGAGUCGGGGCCUUGGGCAGGUUCACAAGGAUCCUGAUGGCGACGGUUGGUGAUGGUGAUGUAAGUUGGAAGCCUCGGACCAAAUCAGAGGUAUCCAUUUGACCUCGGUGGGACAGGUCAGCUUUGCGGAGUUCCGUGCGUCCUUCCAGAGAUUCAUCCAGCGCUAGCAAGCAUGGUCCCGAGGAUCCCAGCUCCCAGCAGAGGCAAUUUUGUUCACACAGAAUCCUGGGCAGGAAAGUUCUCAGCAGAUUUAGGCCUCCUAGCCAAAAAGUCAAAGCCACUUCUGGGAUUUUUUUUCAAAGAGCCAAUGGUUCCACAAUGGGCCAUGGGUAGUUGUGGAAAUGGAGAGACGUGUUUGCAGAUACAUAUUUGAGACAGAACGGACAGGGCUCGGUCACAGUUCAUGUAGGACACGAGCAGAUGCACAUUGAGAAAACCUUCCCAGCAUCCUAGGUGAACAGAGGUAUGAUUUUUUGAGACAGUCGAGGGAGACGCAACCCCAGAUUUUAGGGUUGGAUCUUUAUUAAUAUGUAGUAUCUAUGAGGAAUCCAAGUCCAGAAAUCAACUCGCCAGUUCUGUACAGCAUUCUGUAGGGAGAUCAAAUCUGGGAUGUCUAAAGUUAAGAAUUCAGGCCGUGGUAAUGGAUUAGAUUAGACGUACUUGAACUUAUUUUGCAAAGAAAGAGAGGGUGGGAGAUAGCGAGAGCCAGAGAGAAGGCGAGAGAGAGAGAGAGAGAGAGAGAGAGAGAGACAAAGACAGAGACAGAGAGAGACAGACAGAGAGACACAAAGAUACACAAAGAGAGAAAGACAGAAAGAGAGAGAGAGACAGACAGAUAAAGACACAGACAGAGAAAGACAGAGAUGGACAGAGACAGAGAGAAACAGAAAGAGAGACAGACAGAGACAGACAGGCAGACAGUCAGAGAAAGAGAGUAAGACAGAAGGCAGACACACACACACACACAGAGAGACAGAUGGACAGACAGAGAGAAAGAGAGAGACAGAGAGAGAGACAGACAGAGAGAAAGAGACAGAGAGAGAAAGAGACAGAGAUAGACAGACAGAAACAGAGACAGAGAGAGAGAGAGAAACAGACAAGGAGAGAGAGAGACAGACAGGCAGAGAAAGACAGUAAGACAGAAGACAGACACAGAGAGAGACAGGCAGAGAGAGACAGACAGAGAGACAGAGACAGAGAAACAGACAGGCAAAGAGAAAGAGAGAAAAAAAACAGACACACAGGGAGAGAGAGACCUACAGACAGACAGGCAGAGAGAGAGACAGAGACAGCGAGACAGAGAAACAGAAAUACAGACAGGCAGACAAAGAGACACACAGAGAAAGACAGAGAUGGACAGAGAGAGACAGAGAGAAACAAAGAGAGAGAGACAGAGAGAGAGAGAGAGAGAGAGACCGGCAGAGAAAGAGAGUAAGACAGAAGACAGACACAGUGAGAGAGACAGGCAGAGAGAGAGACACACAGAGACAGGGAGACAGAGAGAAAGAAAGAGAGAGAGACAGAGAGACAGACAGAGAAAGACAGAGACGGACAGAGAUAAACAGAAAGAGAGAGAGACAGAGACAGAGAGAAAGAGACAGAGAGAGAGAGACAGACAGGCGGAGAGAGAGACACACACACAGGCAGAGAAAGGGAGUAAGACAGAAGACAGACACAGUGAGAGAGACAGACAGAGAGAGAGAGAAAUAGGCAGAGAGAGACAGAGAGAGAGAGAAGACGGAGAAAGAGAGACAGAGAGAGGAGGAGGAAGGGCGUGCUCAGGAAAUAAUUACACAUAUUUUAUAACGCUUUUGAUCCCAUAAACGGUGGCCGAGGUGUGCUUUGAAAACAACAACAACAACAGCAACAAGAGCAGCAGCAGCAGCAAGAGCAGCAGCAGCAUUCACUUACGGAUUUCUAGAACAUAAGAUGUUCUGAAGAGUAGUAAACAUCAACCGGCUCUCACUAUACGUUCAGAGAUUCACAAAAUCGUUAGUAAACAACAGGAGAAAACCGCAGCUUACAUGUCUUGGGGAAAAUAUACGUCUUCCUGAAAACUGGGGAUUUCUACUUCAUCUAAAAAGAAAUACAUAAGAAAAAGGAAAAACACGAACGAAACAAAACAAGCCAACAAACACGGGCCAAGGCACUGUCCCUGGAAAUCUUAAGUGAGCAAAGUAUUAGUUUUCAGAAAGCGUUUCUAUUUUGGACAAAUACUAAGAAGGCCCAGACUAGAGCUGUGACGUCAUUCCUAUUGUGAAACUAUGCUGGCCGGAGGGCGGAGAAACUAAAACAUCAUGAUAAAAGGUGAUUGAAACCCAGCCGGGGUGAAGGUUUCCUAGGGAGGGAGGCCUGAGGAAGGAAGCGGGGUAAAAAACCCACAACUGCAGACCCGCCCGCUUGCCGACGCGGGUCAAGGGCUAUGCCAUCGGCCCAAGCUGCCUCUGGGGAAGUGGGACCGUGCCACCCCCAUCUUCAAAAACGGUGGCCACUGAAUGACUGAGGAUUCCACAAAUGAAGGUCAGCAGUAUCUAUUGAGAUGUUUCUCCCUCUCAUGCGUCUCAUCUGUGUGGUGGAGAAAGGGAAGAAAAGAGGUUCUGAUGGGAAGUUGUCUUCAUGCCUGAGGAAGCUGAAGGCAGGCUGACGGGAAGGAGGGCAUCCUAUGUGACAUUUCCAUACCUGGGCACCCUUUACAAUGCUGGGGCUGCCAGUCCACCCUAGAUGCUCAUUUCAACAACCAGGCGGUUGAUGUGACGGAAGAAGUGUCAAGUCCAGGAGUUUGAGACCAGCCUGAGCAACUGAGCAACACAAGUAGGAGAGCCCAGCUGAAAAAAAUGAAAAAAAGAAGGAGGAGGAGGAGGAAAGAAAAGAAAAGAAAAGAAAAGAAGAGAAAAAAGUUAAAAUUAUCCAAUGGUGCAGGCACAAAAAAGAGUGAUUUCACGUCUUUUCCCACAACAUGGAUAGAGCUGGAAGCAAGUAUGUACCGAGUGAACUGCCUUCUGCUUACAAGUGGGAGGUAAAUAAUGGGUACGCGCACGGUCAUCAAGAUGGAAAUAACAGACACUCCAAAAGGGAGGAGGAGGGUAAGAGGGGGAGGAGGAGGGUAAGAGGGGGACGAGGAAUGAAUAAAUCGCCCGUCAGAGACAACGUUCGCCACGUGGGUAAGGCAUACACUGGAGGUCCACUUCUGCAUCCGGAAGCAGUAGUAUGCUGAUCUAACAAACAAGCACAUACACCCCCUGAGUCUGUAAAAUACCAAAACAACGACGACAGCACCAGCAGCAGCAGCAACAGCAGCAGCAGCACCAACAACAACAACAACAGAACAGAAGCUGGAACACAAAACCACCACCACCACCACCACAGUCGCCAGUCGGGGGUUGGGGGAGGGUGGCCGCGCUCGAGACCCUCAGGCACAGUCCCCUCGGGUUUAAAAAAGAAAACUGCAGACUCAUUCCUGUCUGUAGGCAGGAAAAAUCCAAUCAAAGUUCUCCAUUGCUAGAAAGGGAAGUAGAAUAAGGAGAAGGGCUUAUUGAUCUUCUUGUGAUCGAUUGAGACCACACAUGUAGGAAAAAAUUAAAUACAGACAGCAACACUUUCUACACUGUUCAAAAGCAUUGGAGAUCAGGCGCACCACACACCAUGGGCCUUGAGCCACUAGAGAGAAAAGGCAGGCCAGGUGCGGUGGCUCACGCCUGUCAUCCCAGCACUUUGGGAGGCCGAG